CGACUUCGAUCCCGCCUCGGUCCCGGAGCUCGUCGCUGUGAAUGAAAUCCAGGCGACUCCCGCCCAGUCAGUGGAAGUUCCAGG
rnacentral:SRP_RNA from 1 species